GUUAGGAAUAUUGGACAAUGGGCGAAAGCCUGAUCCAGCCAUGCCGCGUGAACGAUGAAGGCCUUCGGGUUGUAAAGUUCUUUAGCCGAUGAUUAUAAUGACUGUAGUCGGAAAAUAAGCCCCGGCUAACUUCGUGCCAGCAGCCGCGGUAAUACGAAGGGGGCGAGCGUUAUUCGGAAUCACUGGGCGUAAAGCGUGCGUAGGCGGUUUUGUAAGUUAGGAGUGAAAGCCCAGGGCUCAACCUUGGAAUUGCUCUUAAAACUGCAAGGCUCGAAUCUCGGAGAGGAUAGCGGAAUUUCCAGUGUAGCAGUGAAAUGCGUAGAUAUUGGAAGGAACACCAGUGGCGUAAGCGGCUAUCUGGACGAGUAUUGACGCUGAGGCACGAAAGCGUGGGGAUCAAACAGGAUUAGAACCCGAGUAGUCC
rnacentral:rRNA from 1 species